UACAGAGGGGGCAAGCGUUGUUCGGAAUUACUGGGCGUAAAGGGCGCGUAGGCGGCCUGUUAAGUCGAACGUGAAAUCCCCAGGCUCAACCUGGGAACUGCGUCCGAUACUGGAUGGCUUGAAUCCGGGAGAGGGAUGCAGAAUUCCAGGUGUAGCGGUGAAAUGCGUAGAUAUCUGGAGGAAUACCGGUGGCGAAGGCGGCAUCCUGGACCGGCAUUGACGCUGAGGAGCGAAAGCCAGGGGAGCAAACGGG
rnacentral:rRNA from 1 species